UCUUCCCUCUGCUUGGACCACGCUUCUUUCUUGUGCUCCUCACUUCUCCCUUCCAGGCUGUUACAGGACAAGAACUGGAGAUGGCAGAACCUGGGUGGGACCGAUGUGAAGAGGCAGUCAGAGGUUGAAGCUGGACGACUUCAGACCAGGAAAUGAAGGAUAUUUUUCCAGAGGAGCAGAAGAGCUGAAUGUGAUGGUGAAGACCCAUCUCUGGUUUCUGGCUCUAUCUGAAAAGAAGAAAUUCACAUUUCACUCUCUCAUCCUAGAAACAAACCUAGCAUCCCGGAAGGAAAAUGAAUGCCAUUGGGAUUCAUACAUAACCAGUGAAGCUAUGAAAGCUCAACACGGAGCCGAGGCAAAGGAUUGCUGCAGGCUGUGGUUUGGUGCCAUGGAUGGCACAGAGGCUGGGUGAGGGGCAGUCCCAGAGCACCUUCAAUCUGCUCCUGCAGAUGAGCAGAACACUCCAGAUAGCACUGUGGGAUGAAGGGCUUUGCUGCCCACUGCUCCAAGGUGCCCGACCAGCUGCUGGGACAGCCAGGAAGAGAGCCUGCAAGGUGGCCAUUGCUGUGCAGUAGAAGAUUGUCAACCAUUGUUACUGUGGAAACCUUUGAAAAUGUG
ensembl:lncRNA